UUUUAUAAGAAUAUGAUGUUGGUNNAGAUUAANNGCUAAAUAAGGACANGACANAUGCGAAUNANANGUUUAUUAUUGAUAAGAUAAUAAAUAUGUGGUGUAAACGUGAGNAAUNUUAUUAGGAAUUAAUGAACUAUAGAAUAAGNUAAAUANUUAAUAUNNUAUUAUAUAAAAAUAAUUUAUAUAAUAAAAAGGAUAUAUAUAUAAUAUAUAUUUAUCUAUAGUCANGNCAAUAAUGGUUUAGGUAGUAGGUUUANUAAGAGUUAAACCUAGCNAACGAUCCAUAAUCGAUAAUGAAAGUUAGAACGAUCANGUUGACUCUGAAAUAUAGUCAAUAUNUAUAAGAUACAGCAGUGAGGAAUAUUGGACAAUGAUCGAAAGAUUGAUCCAGUUACUUAUUAGGAUGAUAUAUNNNAAUAUUUUAUUUUAUUUAUAAAUAUUAAAUAUUUAUAAUAAUAAUAAUAAUAAUAUAUAUAUAUAAAUUGAUUNAAAANAAAAUCCAUAAAUAAUUAAAAUAAUGAUAUUAAUUACCAUAUAUAUUUUUAUAUGGAUAUAUAUAUUAAUAAUAAUAUUAAUUUUAUUAUUAUUAAUAAUAUAUUUUAAUAGUCCUGACUAAUAUUUGUGCCAGCAGUCGCGGUAACACAAAGAGGGCGAGCGUUAAUCAUAAUGGUUUNAAGGAUCCGUAGAAUGNANUAUAUAUUAUAAUUUAGAGUUAAUAAAANUAAUUAAAGAAUUAUAAUAGUAAAGAUGAAAUAAUAAUAAUAAUUAUAAGACUAAUAUAUGUGAAAAUAUUAAUUAAAUAUUAACUGACAUUGAGGGAUUAAAACUAGAGNAGCGAAACGGAUUCGAUACCCNNNUAGUUCUAGUAGUAAACUAUGAAUACAAUUAUUUAUAANAUAUAUUAUAUAUAAAUAAUAAAUGAAAAUGAAAGUAUUCCACCUGAAGAGUACGUUAGCAAUAAUGAAACUCAAAACAAUAGANGGUUACAGACUUAAGCAGNGGAGCAUGUUAUUUAAUUCGAUAAUCCACGACUAACCUUACNAUAUUUUGAAUAUUAUAAUAAUUAUNAUNAUUAUUAUAUUACAGGCGUUACAUUGUUGUCUUUAGUUCNNGCUGNAAAGUUUUAGAUUAAGUUCAUAAACGAACAAAACUCCAUAUAUAUAAUUUUAAUUAUAUAUAAUUUUAUAUUAUUUAUUAAUAUAAAGAAAGGAAUUAAGACAAANCAUAAUGAUCCUUAUAAUAUGGGUAAUAGACGUGNUAUAAUAAAAUGAUAAUAAAAUUAUAUAAAAUAUAUUUAAUUAUAUUUAAUUAAUAAUAUAAAACAUUUUAAUUUUUAAUAUAUUUUUUUNNUAUAUAUUAAUAUGAAUUAUAAUCUGAAAUUCGAUUAUAUGAAAAAAGAAUUGCUAGUAAUACGUAAAUUAGUAUGUUACGGUGAAUAUUCUAACUGUUUCGNACUAAUCACUCAUCACGCGUUGAAACAUAUUAUUAUCUUAUUAUUUAUAUAAUAUUUUUUAAUAAAUAUUAAUAAUUAUUAAUUUAUAUUUAUUUAUAUCAGAAAUAAUAUGAAUUAAUGCGAAGUUGAAAUACAGUUACNGUANGGGAACCUGNGGUGGGCUUAUAAAUAUC
rnacentral:ncRNA from 1 species